rnacentral:rRNA from 1 species
UACGUAGGUGGCGAACGUUAUCCGGAAUUAUUGGGCGUAAAGGGUGCGUAGAUGGCUUGAUAAGUUAGCAGUGGGAAAUCGAGGCUCAACCUCGUGGAAGCUGGUAAUACUGUCAGGCUCGAGUGCAGGAGAGGUUAACGGAACUCCAUGUGGAGCGGUAAAAUGUGUAGAUAUAUGGAAGAACACCAAUAACGGCGAAGGCAGUUAACUAUGCUGUUACUGACAUUGAGGCACGAAAGCGUGGGGAGCAAAACGG